rnacentral:rRNA from 1 species
UGUGCUUGCACAGAAUGAUUAGUGGCGAACGGGUGAGUAACACGUGAGUAACCUGCCCCUGACUCUGGGAUAAGCCUGGGAAACUGGGUCUAAUACUGGAUAUGCACCGUAGACCGCAUGGUUUUUGGUGGAAAGAAUUUUGGUCAGGGAUGGACUCGCGGCCUAUCAGCUUGUUGGUGAGGUAAUGGCUCACCAAGGCGACGACGGGUAGCCGGCCUGAGAGGGUGACCGGCCACACUGGGACUGAGACACGGCCCAGACUCCUACGGGAGGCAGCAGUGGGGAAUAUUGCACAAUGGGCGAAAGCCUGAUGCAGCGACGCCGCGUGAGGGAUGACGGCCUUCGGGUUGUAAACCUCUUUCAGUAGGGAAGAAGCGAAAGUGACGGUACCUGCAGAAGAAGCGCCGGCUAACUACGUGCCAGCAGCCGCGGUAAUACGUAGGGCGCAAGCGUUAUCCGGAAUUAUUGGGCGUAAAGAGCUCGUAGGCGGUUUGUCGCGUCUGCCGUGAAAGUCCGAGGCUCAACUUCGGAUCUGCGGUGGGUACGGGCAGACUAGAGUGAUGUAGGGGAGACUGGAAUUCCUGGUGUAGCGGUGAAAUGCGCAGAUAUCAGGAGGAACACCGAUGGCGAAGGCAGGUCUCUGGGCAUCUACUGACGCUGAGGAGCGAAAGCAUGGGGAGCGAACAGGAUUAGAUACCCUGGUAGUCCAUGCCGUAAACGUUGGGCACUAGGUGUGGGGGACAUUCCACGUUUUCCGCGCCGUAGCUAACGCAUUAAGUGCCCCGCCUGGGGAGUACGGCCGCAAGGCUAAAACUCAAAGG